ACGCGAAGAACCUUACCAGGUCUUGACAUCCUUCUGACCGCACCUUAAUCGGUGCUUUCCUUCGGGACAGAAGAGACAGGUGGUGCAUGGUUGUCGUCAGCUCGUGUCGUGAGAUGUUGGGUUAAGUCCCGCAACGAGCGCAACCCCUAUCUUCAGUAGCCAGCAGGUAAGGCUGGGCACUCUGGAGAGACUGCCAGGGAUAACCUGGAGGAAGGUGGGGACGACGUCAAAUCAUCAUGCCCCUUAUGAUCUGGGCGACACACGUGCUACAAUGGCGGUCACAGAGUGAGGCGAACCCGCGAGGGGGAGCAAACCACAAAAAGGCCGUCCCAGUUCGGACUGUAGUCUGCAACCCGACUACACGAAGCUGGAAUCGCUAGUAAUCGCGAAUCAGAAUGUCGCGGUGAAUACGUUCCCGGGUCUUGUACACACCG
rnacentral:rRNA from 1 species